rnacentral:lncRNA from 1 species
GUGAUUAGGCGGUACAUGGAGCAGUUACAGCUCACCGAGGACAUGACCCUAGAUAGGAAGGUCUGGAGGACGCGAAUUAGGGCAGAGGACUAGGGCCAGUUUGAGUCGCUAGUGUAGAGGGAAUUACUUGGUGGGGGUUUUUUCUUGUUAGGAGUCCGUGUUCCAUGUUUUAUUAUAAAUCUGUGUGCUUUCCUCUGUUUUAUAUUACUUAUGGGUGUCGUAUUUAUGUUAUGUAAUCUUGUGUUGUGCUUUACUAUGUGUUGUGUGGUAUCUCGUGUCUUGAGCCGGGGGUCUAUCGGAAACAGCCUUUCUACUUCUUCAGAGGUAGAGGUAUGGAUUGCGUACAUCUUACCCCCCCAGACCCCACUAGGUGGGAAUACACUGGGUUUGUUGUUGUUGUUGUUGUUGUUGGU